CUACUUUUUUCCUAAUGGUAUUUUGAGUACAUUUACGUCAACUUGGUAACAUGCAGUGGAAGUUCUCUGUGGUAGUCAUGGGUAUCAGUGCUUCCAGGCCAAAGUAGUUGACGACGAUGACGACGCUAGUACAAAUGCAAAACUCUAGGGUUGAAACGGGACGGAGAGUAGAUCUUCAUACUUUAAUCUUCUAGACAGGGUAUCGUGUGUGGAUGUGUGUCCCAAGCAGAACGGCAUCGGGCGGCGCUUCACAUGUUCGUAUACUCCAGCGCUGACGUAGUAUACGUAGUACAGGAACUAACUUUCCGUUUAGUUGUGUUCUUACGGCACACGCUUCAGUAAAUGGGUCCAUUUGAAAGCAGAAGUCGGCUGUGGCAGACGGGGUGUGUGUGUGUGUGUGUGUGUGUGUGUGUGUGUGUGUGCUCACUAACUUCUAGCGUUUCAGGUCACACAAUAUUGUUUGUAAUUGUCUCUCCUUGGUCCGACUUUCCCCUCGGCUUCCCGUCCGGUUCGCACUCUCACUCCUCGUUUGGUUCCAGGACAUGUGAUGAUGAUGAUGAUGAUGAUGAUGAUGUAACAGAACGACAGACGGAUAUCUCGGAUCUUUAUCCACAGGUUGUAAGAUCAGGACUUUCUGUGUAAAUUAAAGUGUCACUGAGGGGCAGUAAUGGACAAACCCUUUGUACUAUAUUCAAGCGUUUUUGUGCUGGAUUAUAAAAAAACAAAGUUGCUAAACUUGUACCUGGUCUUCUCUCGUUUCUUCAUGUCGACUUCUUCAGUGUCUGAGUCCAGGGUUUUCCUGCUACGAGCCCUCGAGUGUGCCUGCAGGAUUGUGGCCUCCACUAAUGCACAGAUCACACGUGUGAGAGUGAAGGAUCAUGGGAAAUGAAUGAACAUGCAUGAAAUCACUGACUUAAUGGACGCUGUCUCUUAGUCAUACUUUGCACCAGAACACUGCUAGUAAAGCCACAGUGGAGAUGAGUCAUAGUAAAUAAAACACCAGCUGAACAUUUAGUACCAUAAUCAUCAUAGUCUCUGACAGGGAGCAGAUCACCCUGAUCAUAAGAAAUGGCCAAUGUUUGAUAUCCACCGGGCUUAAAGUUCUCCAGCGUGCAGCAUUUAAAAAUCCUACAUUUAAAAAAACAAAAAUCUUGUUGAUUGAUUUCACGUUCGAGUCCAGGAGUUCUCCUACUAAUGGUUUGAGAGGAGCAGCGUUCACACUCGACCAAACUAACCCUUCCAGCCAAUCAGAAUGUUUCGCUCUUAUAAACAUGUGCAGAGUCUCUCACACACACUGCCACAUGCUCCUCUUCAUAGUUAUUUUUCUCGCUGACUGAUGAGCUUACGGACACUGAAGGGUUAUUCUGAGGUACGUGAACUGAGGUGCUAAGCGAUCGCCUCUGCCGUACUAGUAAUGAUUGUAAAUGAGAAUUGUUAACGAGGUUGCCAAUGUCCACACAGCUGACAGCUUUACCUGCUGUAGUUAAAGUUGAGCACAAAAUCCACACGGUUUCGGUCACUGCGCGUCUCUACUGUAAUCACCUAGUUUAAUAAUGAGCUUCUGCAGGAUGACUUCACAAUCUUUAUCAGAGACAGUCUGAUGAUUACUGCACAGACUUCUCCAAACUUAAUGGAGCUUGUAGUUUUAAUCCAACGUACCGUCCGUCAGCGCUCGUUUAAAUCGUGACUGCGAUGCUGCACUGUGUGCGGGACCUGAUGAACAAGAGCAGAAUUAACAUAUUUAUUCAUUUGUAUUACAUUUAAGUCAUUAUUCUGUCAUCGUUCAUUGACAGUCAUUUCACUGUAUGUCAUUCAUUUAUUCCAAAAUUCUUAAUUUUCAGUGUCACGCUGUCAACACGUUAUAGUUUGGUAGUGCGUGUACGUGCUCUGGUACAGUAGACAUAGAUAAGCUGUUCAGAAGUAGAUGCCUCAUUAGUGGCUGUCUCUAUGGGCUGUGAGCAUCUCCUGGUAUAUAUCUGUGUCUGUCAGAGCGUGUACACGCGUCACGCGCCGGGUGUUGUGAACGCACUCAGGACAGUUGGACAUUGCUUGAAUCAGAGGUAAAAAACGAUAUAAAGACUGUUCAGUCUCCUGCACAGACUGAUGGUUUUGUGUCUUUACACAUCAGUGUGUCGUCACGAGCCGCAGGGUUUAAUUUGGUUUUGUUUGUUUAUGUUUUUUUGACUCUCAAAGCUGUGAUUCCCAUCCACUCACAUUAUAAGACUGACAGACUGUUUGUGUUCUGCUGAAGAAACAGUCACCUACAUCUCGGAUGCUCUGGGGGUAAGCUGAUAAACAUCACAUUCUCAUUUUUGGGUGAACUAUCUCUUUAAGAACACACAGGGCCCUGGGGCUGUAGCAAACCCAGAGGCCCCCUUCAAAGGAGCCUAUCUUGGUACCACGGUUUCUACAACAUGAAUUUUUUAAUUAUUAUUUUUAAUCAAAUCACACAGAGAUGCAAUGAGUUUACACACUAAAUAUUCCAGGCUAAAACACAUUAAAAUAAAAAUUAAUUAACAUCAAAAAUAUGAAGUCAAAGCAGACAGGUUUGCAGAAGUAUAUACAGCUCCCUUGAGGAGUUUACUUUAAAUAGUUUUAUUAUUAGAAGGUCCUCUUUCUGGCCCUAGAAGAGGACCAUCAUCAGCGCUGGACUGGGGCACACACUGGGGUUAGGGCAAUUGGAAUAAAUUAAUUAUAUUAUAUAUUAUAUAUAAUUAAUAUAAUGGAUGAAAAUAUACAUUUUUAACAAUAUUAAUAUUUCAUUAUAUUGCAGGCUCUUAAUUACUGAAUUCAUAUUUUUCUGCAGUUAAUGUUUAUUUAGAACUAUUAAAUUCUCUGUACUUGCCCUAAUUAAAAGCUAAUUAUUGAAUCCAGAAGUAAUGUAUGCUAUUAGUAAACUUUUUAAAAAGUGACCUUUAUUUUACCCAAAUAUUUAAUAGACCAUAAGUAGCUUGUAAUAAAUUUCAGCUGACCUCGACACUUUAGUUUACAGGGUCGGUGCUAUUCAAUCUGGUUUUCACUAACUACAACACAGAGACUUUACUCUUCACAUCUGUGUCCCUGCAGCACAGAAGCAGUCAUCAGUAGCACAGGUAUAUUUGUAGCAAUAGACAACAAUACAUUGUAUGAGUCACAAUUAUACAUUUCUCUUUUAUGACAAAAAUCAUUAGGAUAUUAAGAUAAGAUCAUGUUCCAUGAAAAUAUUUUGUACAUUUCCAGAGGUGGAAAGAGUACAAAAAUAUUCUACUCAAGUAAAAGUACCAUUACAUUAAUGAAAUUUUACUUAAGUACAAGUAAAAGUACCAGUCUAAAAAUCUACUCAAGUAAAAGUAAAAAGUAGCUCAUUUAAAAUUUACUCAGAGUAAAAAUUACUUAGUUACAUUUUAACAGUGGGAGGGAGGCA
rnacentral:lncRNA from 12 species